rnacentral:rRNA from 1 species
CCUACGGGAGGCUGCAGUGAGGAAUAUUGGUCAAUGGACGCAAGUCUGAACCAGCCAUGCAGCGUGAAGGAAGACGGCUCUAUGGGUUGUAAACUGCUUUUGUACGGGGGUAAACGCAGAUACGCGUAUCUGUUUGAAAGUAUCGUACGAAUAAGGAUCGGCUAACUCCGUGCCAGCAGCCGCGGUAAUACGGAGGAUUCGAGCGUUAUCCGGAUUUAUUGGGUUUAAAGGGAGCGUAGGCGGGUGGAUAAGUUAGAGGUGAAAUCCCGAGGCUCAACCUCGGAAUUGCAUUUGAUACUGGCAGGCUUGAGAGUAGUUGCGGUAGGCGGAAUGCAUGGUGUAGCGGUGAAAUGCUUAGAGAUCAUACAGAACACCGAUUGCGAAGGCAGCUUACCAAGCUACUACUGACGUUGAGGCACGAAAGCGUGGGGAGCAAACAGGAUUAGAUACCCCAGUAGUC